UUCUCAACCAUUGAGCUGUUUCUUUAGUUAGCUCAGUGGUCCAUCCUGUUGCUGGGUCUCUCAUUCUCUGUCGUCAUCUGAUAUUAUGGUUGUAGUAUUGGAAGAGCUUGCUAUAUAUCACUUAAGAAAGGUCUACAUGAAGAAAGAAAUAUGUUUUUCUUACCUGUUUGACUCUACAUGGGAGCUACACCAUCACCACAACCUUUGCCAAUCGCACCUGCAAAUGAAAACACUGUCAGCGCUUCCAUGCCAGAUGUUUGACCAACUUAACCCAGCAGCUGUAGUAGCAUUGCUGAGCUUUAGAAGAUAGAGGAGCAGAAGAAGAAGGAAUGCCCAGCACCAACAGAACCAGAGCCUUGAGAAUCAGGGUGUUUGCAGCUGUGGAUGAACAUGUGGUGCCUGAAGAGAGGAACCAGGGUCUUCUGUGCUGCUGAGCAAACAAUCAAAGGAGAUUUUACUGAAGGCACUGCAACAACACACACACGAGUGAAAUGUAAUACCAGAAAUGUUUUGACAUGACUAGGAAUUCUGUCACCUACAUCUGUCAUGUCCUGCAUGCAGCCUUGAAGGCUAUGGCUGUGCUGUUGAAGAUCUCAGCACGUUUUCAGAGAGCUCCAAAAAAUUAGUUAAUUGCUUUUUCCUUUGAAAAAAAAGGUUUGUUCUGCUGAUUCCCUCAACUAAGUUAGAUCUCAGUUGACCUAGACCUUCAAUUUAUUUACCCAUCUUUGCUCUAUAUUGCUUAAUGGUGUUAUUCAAGAAUCUCUUUUGAUUUUGAAAAUUUCAAUUCAUUUAGCUUCCACAGGCUUCUGAAAAGAGAAUUCCAAUAUAGCUGACUGAGGUGGUUAAUAAAAUUAUGAUGAACUCCAAGUCCAUGUUGCUAUUAAAAAUGUGAAGAGAAAUUAUUAAAUAUCUUUCUAUGUAUCCCUACUUAUUGGAUGUACUGAUUAUAGAUCAUAUUUACUUGGUGCACAUGGUGAGAAUUUGGCAGAUGUAUUAUUAGAAAUAAAGAUGUAAGAGUUAGAUUUGUCACUGUUGGCAUGAAUUGAUGUUCUUUUUCAAAAAGCAACACAGGGACAGUGUCUAAAUGGCUUCCUUCUAUGUUGUAUGUUUCAAUAACUCUACAGAUAUCCCCAUAAUUUUAAAGUGACAUUUCAAAAGCAAACAAUCAGUAAUAAAAUUUUGUAAAGCCAAUGACCUAGUAUUCAACUAGUUGGAACCGUGACUUUUCUUAACAAUAAAACACUUUUGUCUCAACAUUCCACCGCUCCAAUCAAACUUAAUACAUUGCAGAAUACUCAGAAGAGAGUUAAGUCUA